rnacentral:rRNA from 1 species
GAUGAACGCUGGCGGCGUGCCUAAUGCAUGCAAGCCGAGCGAACAGACGAGGAGCUUGCUCCUCUGACGUUAGCGGCGGACGGGUGAGUAACACGUGGAUAACCUACCUAUAAGACUGGGAUAACUUCGGGAAACCGGAGCUAAUACCGGAUAAUAUAUUGAACCGCAUGGUUCAAUAGUGAAAGACGGUUUUGCUGUCACUUAUAGAUGGAUCCGCGCCGCAUUAGCUAGUUGGUAAGGUAACGGCUUACCAAGGCAACGAUGCGUAGCCGACCUGAGAGGGUGAUCGGCCACACUGGAACUGAGACACGGUCCAGACUCCUACGGGAGGCAGCAGUAGGGAAUCUUCCGCAAUGGGCGAAAGCCUGACGGAGCAACGCCGCGUGAGUGAUGAAGGUCUUCGGAUCGUAAAACUCUGUUAUUAGGGAAGAACAAAUGUGUAAGUAACUAUGCACGUCUUGACGGUACCUAAUCAGAAAGCCACGGCUAACUACGUG